rnacentral:rRNA from 1 species
UGGGGAAUAUUGGACAAUGGGCGAAAGCCUGAUCCAGCCAUGCCGCGUGUGUGAAGAAGGUCUUCGGAUUGUAAAGCACUUUAAGUUGGGAGGAAGGGCAGUAAGCGAAUACCUUGCUGUUUUGACGUUACCGACAGAAUAAGCACCGGCUAACUCUGUGCCAGCAGCCGCGGUAAUACAGAGGGUGCGAGCGUUAAUCGGAUUUACUGGGCGUAAAGCGUGCGUAGGCGGCUAAUUGAGUCGGAUGUGAAAUCCCCGAGCUUAACUUGGGAAUUGCAUUCGAUACUGGUUAGCUAGGGUGUGGGAGAGGAUGGUAGAAUUCCCGGUGUAGCGGUGAAAUGCGUAGAGAUCUGGAGGAAUACCGAUGGCGAAGGCAGCCAUCUGGCCUAACACUGACGCUGAAGUACGAAAGCAUGGGGAGCAAACAGG